rnacentral:rRNA from 1 species
GACGUAGGGUGCGAGCGUUGUCCGGAUUUAUUGGGCGUAAAGAGCUCGUAGGCGGCUCGUCGCGUCGACCGUGAAAACCCGCGGCUUUAACUGCGGGCUUGCGGUUGAUACGGGCGGGCUAGAGUUCGGUAGGGGAGACUGGAAUUCCUGGUGUAGCGGUGAAAUGCGCAGAUAUCAGGAGGAACACCGGUGGCGAAGGCGGGUCUCUGGACCUGUCCUGACGCUGAGGCGCGAAAGCUAGGGGAGCAAACAGG